ensembl:misc_RNA Metazoa_SRP Metazoan signal recognition particle RNA
GCUGGGUGUGGUGGCACGCACCUGUAGUCCCAACUACUUGGGAAGCUGAGGUGGGAGGAUGACUUGAGCCCAGGAAGUCAAGCCUGCAGUGAGCCAUAAUUGCACCACUGCACUCUAGCCUGGGCAACAGAGUAAGAUCCUGUCUCAA